AUCGCCUCCCCUCCCUCUCGCUCUCACUAGCCGGCAACUGUCGCCCCUUUUGUCCAUUUCCCGUUCUCUCUAUCUCCAGUCUCUAGCAGGUUUGGUCUUCUGCAAUUUUUUAAUUCCUUUUUCUGAUGAUGUUUUUGAGUGUUGGCUUUUUUGAGUUUUCCUUUUGAGAAUGUAAAUUUCUCUUGUUGUUCAAAAUUUAUUGUUUGAACUGAUUUAGACUAUUAUUGAGGUAUUGUCUGAUUUUUAUUAGAUGCAAGAUGUCUGUUUAUCCUCUCUUAUUUUAUUUCUUUUUCCUCUCUUUUAGAUUCAUUAUUUUUGGUUUCUUGUUCAGGUCCUUGUUUGCUAUAUAGAUUUUUUUUUUUAAUCUCCCCUUUUUUAAAACUAUAAAUGUUGCUGGUUUGCGGUUUUAACGGUGUAAAUGGUUUUUUAAUCUGGGUCUGAAUUCCUUAUUGCAUUCCACUAAGUCUGUUGGCCUUUUCGGAUUAGUUCUUUGUUUCUGCUUAAUACAUAUUCUUAACUUUUCUAGGAUUUGUAAACUGUGAUUUUGAUUCAUUGUUUCUUUUGUAACUCUUUCACAAUGUGUGUUGUUGUUCUAAAUAUAUAGUGUUGUAUUUCUUUUUUAUGGUUUAUAUAUGCAAUGGUGUUGUUUUUUUACCAAGGGGGUUAGCUCGAUUGGUAAACCUACAAGUAAUUGCAGGUGGGAGAUACGGGUUUAAAUGCCCAAAUCCUUCAAAUAUGAAAAGCUCUAUGCUUGGUUUAGAUGACAUGAUAAUGUUGAAUUAUGUGCUUUUAUUUUUCUAGAGUGCUUAUUAUGUUAAUAUGUUCACUUAUGUUUCUUUUGAAUGCUAUUUCCGUAUAGUUUAUAAAAUUUAGAAUUUUACAAUUGAUUUUAAUGACCACUACAUGAUUCUAGUUACAAAAGCAAUUUUCGUUGCUGUUAUGUUUAAGUUUUACAAUAUUAUAUGAUUGUUGCAUAGACACCCAAUGAAUGUUCUUAAAGAUGUUGUUUUUAAUAAAUGAAAUGCCUCUUAUGUUUAGCUCUAUCAAAAUGUGCUGUUGCUGGAAUUGCAGAUUCUAGCAAAAUGAAGAAAGGAAUUCACCCUCAGAUGCAGUGGAUAUCUUAUGUGACCCAGAGUGGCAGGUUGAUGCACAUUAUGAUGACAAAAAUUCAUCAUGUUGGUAAAGUCUACCACUUCAGGGCCAGACGGCAGAUGGCUGAAAGUUUAGGACAGGUUGCCAAGUUUAAGCGUCGCUAUGGACAGGAAGAUGCUGAAGACACUACCAAAUAAUUCAUUGUGAUAGCGAAGAGAAGUUUGGUAUUGGUCCUCAACGUUUCUCAUGUAUUUUAGCUUGACACUGUGACACUGUCCUAGUGAGUGCUCUGAAUUGCAAUAAACUUUGUUGUCUAUGGGUACUUAUAGAACGAUUCAAUUUUGAUGAGUAUAGUUUAUGGUGAUUUAACUGCCCAAUUAAAACUAUUACAAGUUGGUUUAUUCAAUUUACUUGAUUUGAGAGAUAGCAAAAUGCAAAACCUGAAGGCCAACUCUGUGUUCCAUGCAUUUGUAUCCUACUUGUAAUAAUUAUGUGGCAGUUCCAGAAUUCUUAUUUUG
rnacentral:misc_RNA from 1 species